UACGUAGGGGUGCGAGCGUUGUCCGGAAUUAUUGGGGCGUAAAAGAGCUUGUAGGCGGUUUGUCGCGUCUGCCGUGAAAAUCCGAAGGCUCAACCUCGGACUUCGCGGGUGGGUACGGGCAGAACUAGAGUGUGGUAGGGGGAGACUGAAUUCCUGGUGUAGCGGUGAAAUGCGCAGAUAUCAGGAGGAACACCGAUGGCGAAGGCAGCUCGCUGGGACGGUACUGACGCUGAGGCGCGAAAGCGUGGGGAGCAAACAGG
rnacentral:rRNA from 1 species